ACUCAUCUCCUUCACACCCCACUCAUCUCCAGAAACCUUAGCUGCGCCGCCAUGAAAUCACUAGGCUACCAGUGGCCGCGCCGAUGCCAAACACCACCAAAUUAACACCCCUAGAGCACCUAACCACCCUCGUUACGAAUCCAUAAACCGUUUGCCUCGAAUUAGCCUAGUACUUCUCGAAUCUUCAAUCGAUGAUUCGAGCCAAACAUGAACUUCGUCCUAAACAAGCCCAAAUCGAUAGUAGGUAGUCUACCGACCUCCCUCAUCUCGAGUCUGGGGCUAUUUCUCUUUGAAUCUCAACAAGACACCUACAAUUUCAUAUCUAAGGUUCGUGCUUUUCUAGACUGUGUUUUCAAUUUGCCAAGACGAAUUAAGUUCAAGUUAAAGUUAUGGGUUUAUCCCCUGUGGGGUGAACCUGUAACAUUAACUCGAAGUUAAUUUCGAAGACCCCGUUUGGAGAUUGGCUAUCAGUAAGUUUUCUGUAUCUCCGCCCCUUUGGUUUCUAUUUUAGUAAAUAUAAUUAGUCUAUUCGAUUAAGCAUGGUUGUAGUUUUUCAGUCGAGUUUACAUCAUUGUAUUUCUUCUUUUGAUUUGUUAUAUGUGUUUUAGUUUAAUUUACUUUAGAUUGAGUCUCAUCUUUUUGUCUUAAUUUCUGGUUCGAUUUUUGUUUAUGGAAUGUCUGGGGAUGCUCAAUAGUUAAGUGCUAAUUAAUCACUAGUGCAAUUAGGUUUUUUCUUUACCAUGUUUGCUGGUGUUAAAUUUGGAAUUCGUUAAGUAUUAGUGUAUUUUCAGUCAUGGUUAGUCUUAACUAGUUUAUUGCUAGGUUAAAUUGAUUGGGUAUUUUAGUUAACCAUAGUUAAAGUUUAGCUGGGGUGAGGGAUUUGGUUCAACUAAUUCUGAUUGCAAUUUUCAGAUUGUUGGAAGGGUAAUUUGGGUAUGAAAAUUGGUAGUAUCUUGAGAAAUAGUAAUUGCAAUGUAGGACUAAGGAUAGUAUGGUAUUUUUGGGGGUUAUAAGAGCACCCUAGAUAUGCUAGAUUGGGGGUGAAACUGUAGCUUUUAACUAUUGGUAAUACUUGUUUAGGUAGCAAGUUAGAAUUAUAGGUCUUAAAUAAAAAAUAAAAUAGGGACUGAUUUGAAAACCUUUUGGCUGAUUUUUCUUUCUUUUUUGCCUAUAUAAAGGCAUCAAAUGCCUUGAGGUAGAGGUCUUCAAUUUUUCAGUCUAAAAAUUUCGUAAGAAAUUUGAUUUAUUCAUUCAUUCUAGCUUCAGAUUAGGUUCGGCAAUUAGAUAUACAAAAAUACAAAAAUACAAAAAAAUACAUAGAAGAAAAUCAGAAAAACAACAAGAUUUCACUGUUCCGUUAGAGUAAAUUAGUGGAAUUCCAGAUUUUGCUGUAGAUCUCUUCAUCUCUGUUUCAAAGUUGAGUAUCAUUAGCUUCAAUGGAGUUCUGGUCGUGAUAUUUAAACAAUAGGAGGUCUAUUUAAACUUUUGGGGUGUUUUGCAUUUCCUGAGUUUCCUGUUUGUUCAAGCUUGUGGGGUGUUUGCUUGGAUUGAUUGGUUUUCAAAAUUUCACUCGUGGUUAAGCUGGGUUCUGGCAUGUCGACCGCUGCUCGUAUGAACUGCUGCUAACUAUUUUUUCUUCUUCUUAAUUCCUAAAAACCAGGUACAUUUCUGAUCUCCAAGUUGAUAUAAUUUUGAAGUGGAAGCAUGAAAUGAAUGGGAUCUAUAUCAUGGCUGCAACUCUGUUUUCC
rnacentral:lncRNA from 1 species